rnacentral:sRNA from 1 species
GCCGGGCACGGUGGGGCACACCUGCAAUCCCAGCACCUGGGAGGCUGAGGCUGGAAGAGCACAGAUUCAAGACCAGCCUCAU